rnacentral:rRNA from 1 species
UACGGAGGAUGCAAGCGUUAUCCGGAAUGAUUGGGCGUAAAGCGUCCGCAGGUGGCAAUGUAAGUCUGCUGUUAAAGAGUCUAGCUCAACUAGAUACAAGCAGUGGAAACUACAUAGCUAGAGUACGUUCGGGGCAGAGGGAAUUCCUGGUGUAGCGGUGAAAUGCGUAGAGAUCAGGAAGAACACCGGUGGCGAAGGCGCUCUGCUAGGCCGUAACUGACACUGAGGGACGAAAGCUAGGGGAGCGAAUGGG